GAAGGUGGGAGCGACGACUGCAAAACGGCAGCGAUGGGGGAGGCUUGCUGCUCCUCCGCGGCCGUUACAGAGAGCGGGGCUUCUGCGGCCGCUACCGUUUCCCUGGGGCUAGGUUACUUCGCAGAAGGCUCUGGCCCUGAGUCCGAGGGGGGACUGCGGGGUCCAGGGGCGAUGAAUGCUCCCGCAACCUCCGGAGCUUGUGCGCGUACUUCAGGGACCGGCACCACGUCACCGUCACCUCCUGAGUAGUGAGUUCCCCUCUGAUGAAACCACUGUCUGAAAAUUCAAAAGAGAAGCAAUUCAAAGGACUUCCAUUUACUUAUAUCCCCUCUAAUCUGCACAAAAGGUUAAAUGUAGCAGUGCAGCAGUUCUGGCCAUCAAAAUAUGAUUAUUGUACUUUAAAAGCAGCCAUGAGAACUCUGCUCUUUGAUAGACUUCAACUUGCAACAACUAAGGAAUAAUCCAGUUCCAGAGGAGAUUAGGAGUUGGGUGAGA
rnacentral:antisense_RNA from 1 species